GCUCCGGUAGUAUAGUCCGGUCAAGUAUGGCGGCCUCUCGAGCCGCAGACCCGGGUUCAAAUCCCGGCCGGAGCACCA
rnacentral:tRNA from 2 species